UACGCCGCCAAGCCCUAGCUAGGGUUUUGCCCUUUUCCUCCCCCGCCGCCCCCGCCCCCGCCCCCGCCCAUGGAUCCCUUCUCGAAGAAGCGCAAGCCGGACGAGAACGGCGCGGUCGCCGUCUCCCCCGCCGCCGGUGCUGCCGCGCUCGGGCUCACGCGCGAUGACGUCCUGCGUCUCCUCGACCCGCUGUCCCGCGACCAGCUCGCCGACAUCGCCGCCGCCGCGGCGCUCGCCUCCGGGGUCGCGCUCGAUGCCGUGCGCGCCGCCGCCGACCGCGACCCGGCCCUGCGCAAGCUCUUCGUCCGGGGCCUCGGCUGGGAGACCAACUCCGACUCGCUCCGCGCCAUCUUCUCCGCCUACGGCGACCUCGAGGAGGCCGUGGUCAUCAGCGACAAGACCACCGGCCGCUCCAAGGGCUACGGAUUCGUCACCUUCCGCCACGCAGACUCCGCCCUCCUCGCUCUUAAGGAACCAUCCAAGAAGAUCGACGCCCGCGUGACCGUCACUCAACUCGCGGCCGCUGGCGCGGCCGGUGGGCCAUCCGGUGGAACUACCGGCGCAGGUGGUGUCCCUUCAGCAGACGUCUCACUGCGCAAGAUCUUUGUUGGGAACGUUCCCGCUGACAUGCCAUCAGAGCGCCUCCUCGCGCACUUCGCUUCCUAUGGAGAGAUUGAAGAGGGGCCGCUUGGGUUCGACAAGCUGACGGGCAAGUUCAGGGGCUUUGCGCUCUUUGUGUACAAGACACCUGAGGGGGCGCAGGCCUCACUAGUGGACUCAACUAAGGUAAUCGAUGGGCAACAGCUCUUGUGCAAGCUAGCCAUCGAGGGGAAGAAGGGGAAGCAGCAACCACAACAAUCUGGGCCUGCCGGGCAACAGCAACCACAGAUGCUCCAGGGUGGCCCGCCGGACAUGACGGGUUCUGGGCUUGGGCUAGGUGGAGCGCAGAUGGGUGGGCAAUAUGGUGGCCCUGGGAAUGGUAUGCCAUCGUUCGGCGCAUUUGGUGGUCCCAACCCAUAUGCGAACAUGCCAUCGUCCAUGAGUGGCGGUGGUGGAGCUGGUUUGGGCUCAAUGGGAAAUCAGAUGCAUUCCGGGAUGGGUUCUGCUGGGGCUGGUGCAUUUGGCACCGGCGGGCUGGGUGGUGGUUCAUUUGGGGGCUCAUCUCAGUUUGGUGGUGCUGGUAUGGGGCCUUAUGGUGGUCUAGGCAUGGGUGGGCCUUCCUCACUAUACCGUAUGCAACAGGGCUCAGGUGGGCUGCCCUCAGGCUAUGGCGAGGGUGGAAACUACCCUCUUCCAGGGUCUGGUUUCCGGGGUCAGGACCCUCAAGGGAUGUCACCAGGACCAGGUGGCAGGGGUCCUCCAAUGUACCCCAAUGUGCCACCUUAUUUCUAAGGGACCACGGAAUGAUUGUUUCAUUUGUGAUCGGAGAUGUUCUGAUUGUAGCACCAGUUUGUGCUGCAUUGUAGCACUGUUCAGAUUUAGCUAGUCGGCAAUGUGAAGUUCAAAAAUUGCACAAGUUUUUGUUAGUUGGCAGAAAUGUAUCUUCUGUUUUCAGGUGAGACCCUUCUGAAGAAGGGUUUAGUCUACUGACCUACCCACCUCGCCUAUGCAUUCCGUUUCCCUUGAGGUGGUCCCACAGAGCUCAAAUAAUGAGAUAGGCGUUGGAAAAGUAGUUAUAACAUGAAGAAAUAUGUGUGGGGACUUAUGCCUUGAGCUUGUCAGUGUUGAAUAUGAGAAAAGUCUGCCCCCAUCAGUUGUUGAAGCAUGGUCGGGAGCUGGUCAAGUUUGAUUUUGCUUGGUUUCAACCUGCAGGACAGACUCAGACUCCAAAAGAAUUUCACCGAGCAAUUAAUUUCCCGCCAUGAUAUUGUAACAUGAAUGUCAUCUUAGUUACAACAUAUUCUGGUUUAGUCUCACAUAUUAGACAUUGUGAUUAUUGUGAUACUUGUUAACAUGCCUUAAGCAUUGAUAUACUGUUUUGAAUAUAAUAAAUAUAUGUGCAUGUAUGUUUCACUUAAUUAAACACAUCUGAAACUGUUAGUGGGAAUAAUUUCAUAAUUUCAACCCGCUGACAACUGAAACCGUUGCUUUGCAUGGUGUUGUCUUUGUUGCAUGAUUUAGGCCGAGUUUGCUUUUGUUACUCCCACAGCUCCCUUUUUUACAUGAUUUGACCCUUUGGUUCUUUUUACUCCGCAUAUAAGAUUUGUCUACAUGAUUUGACCCAACAAAAUGUAAGUUUCAUAUCUCCCUCCACUUCUUUUUACU
rnacentral:rRNA from 1 species